rnacentral:rRNA from 1 species
UACGUAGGAUCCAAGCGUUGUCCGGAUUUACUGGGUGUAAAGGGUGCGCAGGCGGACUUGUUAGUCAGGGGUGAAAUCUCACAGCUUAACUGUGAAACUGCCUUUGAUACUGCAAGUCUUGAAUUGGGGAGAGAGUUGUGGAAUUCCGAGUGUAGCAGUGAAAUGUGUAGAUAUUCGGAAGAACACCAGUGGCGAAGGCAGCAACUUGGCCCCAGAUUGACGCUCAGGCACGAAAGCAUGGGGAUCAAACAGG